rnacentral:rRNA from 1 species
UACAGAGGUCUCAAGCGUUGUUCGGAUUCAUUGGGCGUAAAGGGCUCGUAGGCGGCCAACUAAGUCAGACGUGAAAUCCCUCGGCUUAACCGGGGAACUGCGUCUGAUACUGGAUGGCUAGAGUUUGGGAGAGGGAUGCGGAAUUCCAGGUGUAGCGGUGAAAUGCGUAGAUAUCUGGAGGAACACCGGUGGCGAAGGCGGCAUCCUGGACCAACACUGACGCUGAGGAGCGAAAGCCAGGGGAGCAAACGGG